rnacentral:rRNA from 2 species
GCAGUCGAACGAGUUCUCGUUGAUGAUCGGUGCUUGCACCGAGAUUCAACAUGGAACGAGUGGCGGACGGGUGAGUAACACGUGGGUAACCUGCCCUUAAGUGGGGGAUAACAUUUGGAAACAGAUGCUAAUACCGCAUAGAUCCAAGAACCGCAUGGUUCUUGGCUGAAAGAUGGCGUAAGCUAUCGCUUUUGGAUGGACCCGCGGCGUAUUAGCUAGUUGGUGAGGUAACGGCUCACCAAGGCGAUGAUACGUAGCCGAACUGAGAGGUUGAUCGGCCACAUUGGGACUGAGACACGGCCCAAACUCCUACGGGAGGCAGCAGUAGGGAAUCUUCCACAAUGGACGCAAGUCUGAUGGAGCAACGCCGCGUGAGUGAAGAAGGCUUUCGGGUCGUAAAACUCUGUUGUUGGAGAAGAAUGGUCGGCAGAGUAACUGUUGUCGGCGUGACGGUAUCCAACCAGAAAGCCACGGCUAACUACGUGCCAGCAGCCGCGGUAAUACGUAGGUGGCAAGCGUUAUCCGGA